UCCCGCAAUAGCUCAAUGGUAGAGCACUCGGCUGUAGUUUGGCUUGCCCGGAGGAAUCCGGGCGCGCGGUUGAUACCGAGUUGUUGGGA
rnacentral:tRNA from 1 species